UCCUCUAUGAAAGACACAGAAGAAAGUUCCAGCAUCUCAUAGGGAAUGACUCAGCAUUUCUCCCAAGACCUCAGCGGGAGGAGCUCUAUGGAAGAUGGUGUCAGAGAGAGGAGCUUAGCUAGCUUAAAAUAAGUAUGACAUAAUGAGGAGGAGCUAGUCAAAAACAGCAAUUAUGCUAAUAUCUAGAAGCUGAUUGGUUGAGCUGGCCUAAUUAUGCUAAUAAGCAGAACUUGAGAGAGCAACCAGCAUAUAAAGCCCAGGGCUGGCAGGCUGAAUGCCCUGGGUUUGAGGCUUUGUGGAAGAAUAGAAACUACCUGAGAAGAACAAAAGAAAAUUCCAUAAAGUAGCUACCUGGGAAAGCAGUAGCAGCAACUCUAAAGGUCACCACAGCAACAGCUUUCAUAGCAGCACAAUCAGCAGUCCCUGCCAGCAGCAACUGUUGCUAUACCCGCAGCCUGAAGCAGCAGCAGCACUUAGGAAAAUUGUGGCCUUGACAAUCCUUAACAUCAUUACAGACCGCUCAGAAGGGCCAUUAAGAUGAAACAGAGGAAAUUUGGGUACGAGUUUGUUUGGCCUGCUCCGCUCCAACCUGACCCCUCUCCCCAGCAGGAGCACCAGGUGGCUGGAACGGGGCAAGCCACCGCGCCUCGACCCUGCUCUCUGACAGGAGCACCAGGUGCGCAGCAAAAGGCAAGCCCCUGUGCCCCGACCCUGCUACGCCCCAGCCUCAACCAAGCUUCACAAUCAUCAUUGUCCCAGGCUGAUGCCCUAACCACUGGACCAUUCUUCUGCAAUGGUUAGGAGGCUUACAAGAAUGGAAAUGACAAUUUAAGGUAACAUAUACAUUAAUCUAAAUGUAAAUUAUUUAGCUGGUUAGUUGCAGCUGUUAAUACUUAGGCAUUUAAUGGUAAUGCUGCAUAUUUCAAUGAUCUAUGUUCUAAGCUUGUGUGCAAGUUUCCUCCUUUGACAGGAACCCUAAAAAGUGUUGUGGAAAACUGAAGAAUAUUAGAAUUUUUUUGCCCUAGUAUCAGCAGGACAGAACUCCACUCCUGAACACUUUAGGAGGCAUAUUAUUAUGCAUGGUUGCUCCAGAGUGCCUAGCCAAAGUGGGUAGUUUAUAUCAAGGUCUGCACUCAACUGGCUAAACAGUCUUUUUUCUCAACAUGUCCAGUCUAAAAUUUUAUACUUCAGCUAUGACAAUUUUAGAUAUCUGUGUCUGAUGUACCUUUUUCUUUCAAAGUGUAAACAGAAACAGUUAAUGAAGAAAUCUUUAAAGAAAUAGCCUAUUCACAAAGCUUUGUUUAUAUCUACAGCAACGUUACAGGAAAGCCAUCUGUAAGCUAGAGGGAUCUGAAAACAUGACAUACUACAGCCCUGAGCUUCAAAAAGGAGCACAGUUAAAAUCCAUUGAACUCUCCUGAGCUACAGAACACCUGUGAAAUGUAUUUUCUGGAAAUGUAAUAGUAUAAUUUUGGUUCUGAUCAACUUUUUAUUCCAAAAAUGUUCACUAAAAUUGACAUUUAAUAAAA